rnacentral:lncRNA from 1 species
CACUUGACUGCGGGGAUUACAGAACUCGAUCUCCGGGAAACAACCAGAUCAGCCUCCAGCAUAUCAAAAUUGUGCACUGGGAGUAAUUAAUCAAAAGCAUGUAGGUUAACCUAAAAGCAUGUGAAACAAAGUGGAUAGUGACACUGCAUUUCAAAUAAGCAAUACUGCUGGAUAGGCAGUUAAUGUAAGAAAACUUCAGCUCAAAAAUGUAAAAGAUAAGAAAAGUGAUUCUGUAAAGUAGAUAAAAUGAUCAAAUGAUAUAUAUGUGAACAAUUCAACAUAACCACGAAUAGGAGAAUUCACCGCCACGUUGACCGUUCAAAAAUACAUCUGUACACAUCUAAACCCUCAAUUUUCCAAAACUCAUGACACGGGAAUUACAAGAAAGGAACUGGAAGUCUGGAAUGUUACAAAGAAACAAAUGAAAUAAUAGAAAUGGUUACGUAGCUACCUUGCAAACAAUGGUAGUAUCAAAAAUUAAGUUAUAACUGAUGACUAACAAAAUGAAAGGAAUAUGGUUCUUCUCUAUAGGAUCUCCAAGCAGAUUCAUGUUGAUGCACCACCUUUUCUUCUCCUAGUGGUUCUUUUUACAGUAUAGGGAGCCCCACUAGCAACUUCGCUGGUUUUCUGAUUACGAUCAUUCACAGGCUGCUCGUUUGCAACCUGACUGGUCUCUGUUGGUGCACUUGUUCUGGGAACAGAGCUCGUCUCUGUGGCUGCACUUGUUCUGGGGAGAAUUUUUGUGUUCUGGGAUCUGCUUGCACUAAUCUGCCGCCUUAGGCGCAACAUCUCACCCUUCGCUAGCGCCAAUUCCUCUUCAAGGUGUCUAGACCUCAUUUCAAAGCUCUCCCUUUCCGUCUGAAGCCUUGAGAUAAGAUUCUGAGCAUCUUCACUAUUUUCUUGCGCCUGGAUCGUCUUCUUCUUUUCUUCAUCGAGAGCUUUAGAUAGCACUUCUUUCUCUGCCUCAAGAGUGGAAUUCUUAGAAUGAGUGCUCUCUAGCGCCUUAGACAGUGACAAUGCGCUCGUGUUCAUCUCGUCUAGUGAUCUGGUUGCCUCAUCCAGCUCUGCUUCAAGAGCUCUUCGUGCUUGAGAAUCUACCUGCAAUUGUUUGGCCAAAGCUUCAAGCUCCCUGUUUAAAGUAGUCACAGUUCUUCUUUCCUCAACAAGCUCCUGCGUGGUGGACUCAAACUUCUUGUACACGUCCAGCAAUUCUUUCUUCAGGUUGUCACGAGCUUCCACAACAGAUGCAAGCUGACUAGAAGUAGCUUCAAGUUCUUGCAUGCAUGAUGCAUCUUCUUUACAAAAAAAAGAAACAAAAAACGUUCCGUACAAAUGGUGGAUUUUUCUUUUUGAGCGCAACAAACAAAUGGUGGAUAGCUUAAUCCGUACAUGUCGCAGUCCUUUCGCAGAUGGCCCGGCAGGGCAGAUCACAGGGCCUGUAGUAGCAACGUACGGCUUUCACUUGGCCCAGAAAAUCGUCUGCCAUGGCGGCUACUAUUCUAUGUACCCUUGGGCCUUAGCUAGGCAGAAUGCCAACCAGCCCAAGUACGAAAAAUACGAGUCCGAAUUGGAUGACUGGGCCGCGCUCUCCGAUGCUUGGGCCUCUCCUAGGCCCAACAAACCAAAGCGCAAACAAAACAAGAAACAAGAGCGUGUCAAAUGUGUCGCUACUCCAUAUCACAAAACCAAAACUAGAAACCAGUAGUUUUUUUUGGAAAGAAUUGAGGUUUAAAUACUGGUCCUUCGGCAGCGACACAUGGAUGAGUAAACUUGGUACCGACCCUUCAAGUUGGCAGCCGUUUGCAUUCAUGCCCCCCUAAGGCGUUUUCUCACUGACGUUGCUGAUGUGGAGGUAACGUUUGCUUAUGUGGCACUAUGGAGUAGCCACCGAAAUAUAUUUUUGUUGGGUUCGUUCGGCAGUGGCGAGCCCGUCGUUUCUGUUGUUGGCAGAUCGAGGAACGGAAGAAUGCCUGCUGCUUCGGUAGCAGGGGAGCGACAAGUUGAGCGAUGAAAGAAACUUGCCGGGGAUGCCCAUAUGAUGGCCAUGCUCUGCCUAGAGAGCUAGGCGCGAGGGCAAAGAAACUGCAAACAAGAAAAGAAUCGUAGAUCUUUCAAAAAAAGAAAAAGAAAAGAACCGUAGCCGGCCAUGUAAAAUACUCCAUCAGGUUGUUGCAAACGACGGUUGGCUGUUAAUGAUCGGUACCGAGAAUAAUAACCAGCGCCACCUCGCUUUUAAUUAAGCUAUCUAUGCGAUUCACACAGGAAACAUUUUCAGUCAGUCUUAGCCUCAACUAGUAAAUGUUGAGCUCUUCUCCGGUGCCCUGUAAUAAAUACUGGCCAUCCAUUUACGAAGAUCCAAUGGUUCAUAUGGGAGUGUACCGAUGAGAUCCAGCGAACAGUAUAGAGGCUUCCAGGGGUAGUUUAGGGACAGUUUAACUUUUCUGUCAACCUCCCGCUCCCGUAAGUCCCGGCUGGCUCUUUCCCCUUUCCCUUCUUCCCCGCUGCCUCACGCCGCCGCCGCACGCGUACCCGGCUGCCCACUAGCGCUUCCGGCCGUCGCCGCUCUCCGGCCGCCUCCUCUUCAUCCGCAUGCCCGGCCAUCUCCUCUUCCUUCGCCGUGUUCGUGGACUGAUGCCGGCCCCCGCCGGACGGCCGCCUCCCUCCGCCGAGCUCGUGGAACGGGUGCUUAAGGGUCGCCGGCGAGAAGUGCUCUCUGGAAGUGCUUCAUCUGCAGCAGGCUGCGACCGCGCUCGAGAAGUUGGCCUUCCGCGGCGACAAUCUCCUUCUAAGCUGUAGUUUAUCACUUACCUGCUGUUUAAUGCAUUUGGGAGAUUUGACUUGUAAUAACUCCUCUAUGCGUGGUGGUGUUCAUGAGUCUUUUCUACAGGAUCAUUAAUGGAUUCCUGUAUUUCAAAAAUACUUGUAUUCUAAGCAUGUAUUUUGUACUCAAUUGGUAUUGACGGGCCAAAUUGGCUCAGCUGCGGCCACGCGGUGGUGUUGUUCAUGCAUUCAUGAAUCGACGAGGGGUCCUGCAUUCCUGCCAGGGAGGGCGCGGCCGCGCGGGGCUUGCUUUUGAAGUGAAUGAUAGGCUGAUGGCUCGGGUCGGCAGUACGUGGUUUGCCCGUAAGGUCGAUGAGCGAUUGAGGCCGGCCGCCGGCGGCCGGGGCGAUGAACGAUCGUGCAGAGUCUGACGGAAACAGGAGAUGAGAGCACAUGGGCUGAGCCCAUCGGGAACGCUAUUUCAGGAAUAAAGAAAAAAAUUGAUUUUCUUAAAAAAAUAAAUGGAAAAUGUCCAUUCUACCCUUGACAAAUCAAGGGUGGAGAUUUAUAUACUGCUCUUUUACCCCUGGCAGUACAGGGGUACGGUAAAAAAGCUCGUAAAUGUUUCAAUUAGCUUUAGUUUCAGUAAUUCUCUUUUUGGAGCAAUGGGCAGAAAUCAGAUUGGUUCGACAAUGGAACAACGAAUGCAGAAAUAAGAUAUUUGACCAAAUACUUGUGCAUUUCAUACUCUGAAUUUGUUACAAAGAAUACAUCUGCUUUCACAUCGGGAAAAAAAAAGAGAUCAACUCACGCCUAAUGAAUUCUUCGCUGAUUUCACUGCUCUUCUCUACCUGCGCCACUGCCGAACCCGCGGCCCGGCAGUGAAGUUCCCCUCGUGACACCGGUGGCUGCGAGCUCCACGACCUGCACUCGAAUGUCUCCGACUCCCGGACUCGUGCUCUGCGAGAGCACGGGGCCUGUGGCCGUGGGUAGCUGGCGAGUGAGGAUCGUAGGUCGGCAGCGCCGUGGAUGGGGUUUGUAGCCGGCGUUGGAACUGCUGCCGAGCGCCGUGGAUGCGGUUUGUGGCCGGGGCGUUGGGACCGCCGCCGGGCCGCCGUUGGGAGCGCUGUGGACGGAGGAGACGGCCACUGAGGCUUGGUCUGAUGAGAUCGGGAUAUGGGGCGCUAGCGUUGUAUACACAGACUAAAAGGUUUCAAGCGUCAUUCGGAAGCUCGGUCCCCAACAGCAUUCUACUACUUGUAGUAAAGCAGUAAAGACCAGAUAGCAUAGAGUUGGAGCUGUUGCUGGCAACUCACCACAAGUCCAAUGGUGUCUAAGCACACCACACUUUCUCCUCUAGCAUUGAGGACACUGUCAUCGUCGCUUCGGUUUACACUGCCAAUAAGACACAGACAACAAUGAUGAAGUUGACAGUACAUCGGAGACACGAAGGUAGUCAAAUAAACGCUAUACCAAUAUGGACGAGAACAGAAUAGACAGCAAUACAAGAACACAACAAGAAACUCAACUGUUCACAAGGAAGAUAAUUGUUCCUUUCUAAAACACUACUACUACAAAAAUGGCCAUACUUAAUGAUCCAAUAUUAAGUACUAAUCUCUACUUUAAGCUCUGACCCAACGAAAAGAUAACUCAAUCAGAUCCAACUAGCAGAAACAAUAACCAUUGACAAAUGGAAAGAGAGCACAAGUUAUAAGCUCAUAGCCAUAUGAGUGUAAUAGUACUGCAAGGGAUAAAGAAAUAUACUUGUGGUUCAUUUAAAAUUAAAUUUGCUAAAUGUUCAAGUGUAUGCAAGGUGCAUCAUUGGGCAUACAAUUCUUGAUAGUUAAUGCACCCAUCAAUGACAAUCAUUUAAGAUUGUCUUUAUGCGUGCAAAAAUGGUAGGAAGUAAACAUCAACAACUGAGCAAACUCAAGGGAUAACUUCCAUGACAGUAAACAGAUCGUAAGUUCCUUCUUGAAGCUUAUGACAAGUUAAGCCAAAAGUACCUGGGUGGGUAAACAUCACAGCUUCCUAACUCCUUUACGGCAAGGGGCAAUCUUUCCCGAUCUGUAGCCUGGUGAAGAAAGCAUAAUAAGCAAUCACAGAAGCUUCUUAAUUCGACUUUUUUUGUUCACAGAGAAGGCAAACUGACAUCAAAGCCUGCACCAACUUUGAUGUUCACAGUUUGUAUCUCGUUAUGUUUUGUCCAAAUGAUUUUUUCACCGGUAUCCAUACUUGCUACUGGUACUUCACAUAACCAAUUAUCAUUCAAGAUUACCAGAAAAUUCGUAUAUUAGAUUCAAGUUUAGACCAAGUGUAAAAGCCUAGUAGGACGAAACAGUGGUUAAAAAGAGGGACAUGGAAAACAAAAGAAGCAUAAAUAAAUCAAAUCAGAUCAUGAGGAAAGACUCAUUCUCACAUUUUGCUGAAUAUGAGUCAACAAGAAAAUUCUGGUGGGGCGAAGAGAAGGAUAAAAGAAGGGUACACUGUCAACUUGGGAAAACUUGACUACACCAAAGUUGUCUGGCGGAAUGGGUUUCAGAGACUCAAAGUUGUUUAAUCAAGCUCUCCUAGCUAGACAGUCUUGGCGAAUGCUGCAGAACCCUGAUUGUCUUUGUGCAAAAUUGCUAAAACCUGAUUGACAGUCUUUAAAGCUGAAGCUUCACAAGUUCGGAGAGGUGUUGAACAUGGACUAGAACUGCUUAAAAAGGGAGUUAUCUGGCGCAUAGGUGACGGCUCAAAAAUCAGAAUCUGGAGAGACAAUUGGUUACCAAGAAAUGAAGGCCUGAAAAUCACAUCUGAGACCACCUCCACCCGGCUACAUAGAGUGAAACAACUGUUUGUUCCAGGAAGAAGAGAGUGGAAUUCACAACUAGUAAACGAAACCUUUCCCCCUCAUGACGUGGAGCAAAUUUUGAGCAUUGGAAUUCACCAAAACGAAGAAGACUUUGUGGCAUGGAACUUUGGAAAACAUGGACUGUAAAGAGAGAGUGUAAUUGUGUAGCCCUUGAUUGCAGAGAUUAGAAACAAAAUGAGUGCCUUGCCACACUGCUCCAUAUCCCACGUUAAGAGAGAGUGUAAUUGUGUAGCCCAUGAUUUAGCUGCUCAAGCUAGUUUAGCUAAUACAGUAGGCGUUUGGUUAAACGAAGUGCCAGUAGCCUCAGCUAAAUUUGUAAUCUCAGAUUUCUACAAUGUGACCCGUGCUACGCAAUAAAGCUCUCUCUUGGUAUCAAAAAAAGUAAAACAAACCUUUGCAGCGCGGUCGAGAGAUGCGCUUGCAAAUGUGUGGGUAUCAUAGCCAUAGUACUGCAAGGGAUAAAGAAUAUAGUUGUGGUUCAUUUAAAAUUAAAUUUGCUAAAUGUUCCAAGUAUAUGCAAGGUGCAUCAUUGGGCAUACAGUUCAUGAUAGUUAAUGCACCCAUCAGCGAUAAUCAUUUAAGGUUGUCUUUAUCGUGCAAAAAUGGUAGGAAGUAAACAUCAACAACUGAGCAAACUCAAGGGAUAACUUCCAUGACAGUAAACAGAUCGUAAGUUCCUUCUUGAAGCUUAUGACAAGUUAAGCCAAAAGUACCAUAGCAUGAGCUUCGAAAACUUACUUUGUCCAUAGUAUUGUAGUUGUAGACGCGAUUGUACAUAUCAUCAACACCAGCUACAACCCAUGUUUCCUUGAAACAAACUUUGCCGAACGCACUGAAAUUAAAUUUGCACACAGUACGAUAACGUAAAUUCCAGCCUCUAGCAUAAUCGGAAUUUUUCAUGUGAACAGGAGUCCACUGCAUACCUGGCAGUUCUGAAACUUCAAAUGAUUUAACCAUGAUCUGCAAGAUAUACAAAAACAAAAAUAUUAGAGAAUCCAAAUGUUUUUAUACGGCAGUACGGUAUAGACAUAUUUGGCCUGAAAACAUCAUUGCAGCAGUAAUUGUCUAAGCAUAGACCAUCUAGGAUUCCAGGUGCAUAUGUGUCCAGCACAAAGUAAGUUGAAAACGCAUACUCGAGUCUAUGUUGGUUCAAAUCCUUAGCCAAUGCAAUGAUUAAGAUGAGACAAGAAGAUUAUCCCAAAAAAGUCAACAUACCACACUGCAUAUCACAUAGCCAUAUCAGUGUAAUAGCAGAAUAAAACAUCAGAACAAGCAUUUCACAACAUAGCAAUAACAUCAGUAAGAAGGUAAGAUCCGCCAAUAUCUGCAAUGACUUCAAAACCGUUUUAGGUAGCGUCCCACGAUGUUCAAUCCGUAGCCAACAUAGCAAAAGUAAGUAUGAAAUGACGUAUUUGGCAAUAUUAAGAGCGGCAUCUGUUUAUGGCAAGAAGUUUGGAAUGGUAUCGAUCACGGUUUUCUUGAGCUGAGUGAAGAUUGUCCUUGGGCUCUCUCUCUGGGGCUCAGCAUGGAAGGUAAGAUCGCCCAAUUUUGGCACAUAGUAAAACGAAAUCGCAUCAGGUUCGAUGAAGAGCCUCUUUGUCUCCAUAGGUGUGGCUGCAUUCUCCUGAUAACAUAGCACCAACGACCUUACGUCUCCGCCUGGACAGUCAAAACCAUAAGCCACAACACAGUGAUUCCAUUGCUUGUCCUCUUCCUGAACCGAAGCCAACUCAUUUGGACUGGAAGGAGGCAACUGCCUGUAAGGAGUGUAGACAUCCCUGGGCAACCAAUAGUGGCGUUGGGUUCGGAUGAAGAUUACCACUGGGCCGACCUCAAGGCAAGAGCACAGGUGUUCUCUGUAACGCAUCGCAGCCUCGUACUCACUGGCUGUAGGAGUGCUGAAAGGGAGGGGAACGGCAUUGUGACUCGUCACACUUGUACCAGUGCAGUAGGUCCUGUGGUCAGAUUGUGGCGGAUUGCCGUAGGGUAAGAUUUCACCUAUGAGUGGUACGCCGACUUCAGAUGCCAAUUCCGCCACCCGCUUCAAGGACGACCCAUUGACAGUGAGCACCCCAUGGCCAGCAGAACAAUGAAUCAUGGUGGCCAUGUCAACCUCAAAACAGUCUGCUUCGUAUGUCAAAUCAGGGUCCUGGUAUGCAACUGCUUCAUACCACCUCCUGAGCCAAGCGGUCAUUGCUUCCGCAUAAGCGUGUACACAGCAAGUACCACCUGGAUUUGACAAAAUUGUGAGAUCUUUUAUUUGAAACGAACGGAGUUACAAAUUACAAUCUGAGUGCAAUUUCUCUAGGAGUUACAAAUUUACCCCAAGUAGUAGCCAUCCCAGCAGAUUCUCUAGGAAGCAACCGUGUCAUCUGAUCGGUCGGCGUUGGCAUGUACUUGACUGAAGUGUGGUUGUAGAACUGCUUCCACUCGCGAUUCGCUCCCCAUUGGUCCAUUCCCGUGAUUCCGGAGCCGGAGCCGGAGUUGCAGUGCACGGACGGCGGCGUUCUAAGCAAAGGGUGGGGGUUUGGUAGGGUUCGGGGGCUUCUGGGAGUGGGAGGGGGGAGGUUGGAGUCGAAGCGGAGCGGAGUGGCGGGUGCGUCAUCGACCCCUGGGGGGGGGGGCGGGGGGGUUGGUUCGCUGCAUUCCCCUCCCUUGCCACCCUCCGUGGGACCCGACAGCUGUGUGCCUUACCCGCCGGUGAGAAAGGGUUUACUUUCCCCAUCGCGAUAUCGUCCGGUGGCGGUGGCGGCGAACGCCGUACCCUAGCUGCCUCCUGCGCCGCCACGGCCUCGUGCCCGCUCCUCGCUGCAGCACUCGCCGCCGACCAUCAACGUCGACCGCUCGCGGGAUUCCUCCAGUCGCUUCCCAUCUACUCCACCGGCGACUUCUCCAAGCGCCCGCCGCCAUGCGAUUCCCGCUGCUUCGCCGACCGCCCCUUCACCGUCGGCGGCCAUCUCUCUCCGCGGCGGCAACUCCAUCGUUCUGCUGCACGCGUCUGCUCGCCAGUGCGCUGCGGCCGGCUCCACCUCGCCCUCUCCUCGUGGCUUCCACCUCGCCCUCGCCUUGAGGACCUCUGCAACGGCAUCGCCGAGGUAGAUUAAUUGCCAAAUGCCCCCUCUUUCUCUUCUUCCCCCUUCCGAUCCUUUCAGAUUUAAUCUCCGAUGUACGUGCGAUUGAUCCCAGGUGAAGGUGGGGAUCAUGGUGAGGGAGGGGGAGCUCGGCCAGAUGGUGGUGGUCGGCAUCCGCCUCCACGACAAGAGCUCAUCUCAUGUGAGGAUUUUUUUUGUCAUAGUGGCGUGUAAAUCCUGCUUGAUCUACUUUUAGUUCAUGCUUUGGAUUAUUAGGAUUGAUUAAUUCUGAUGUUUAUUUGUGGUUAGAUAAAUGCACAAGGUCUUGGUGAUGGUUGGUCUCGACUCUUCACAUGUUAUUGCCCAGAUAUUUUUCUGAAAGUGUAAAUUAACAUGGCCUCUGAUUUCUGAAAGGUGAAAAGUACCUUACCGGGUUUAGGAAGUUGAGCUCAUAAUUUUUGGAAUCUGACUAAUGCAUCAUGGAUUUAUGCAAGUUAAUUACUUAAUUGAUUGCAAAAGGAGUAGUAUGCGUAGUGGAUUAGUAUGAGCAAGGGUCGCUUGAGUGAUAUCUUACUCUUGUUUGCUUCUGAUAGAACUACUAAAAAUAUAUAUAUCUGUAUAUAAUGAAAGUAUAUAAUAGAACUACUCAGACUUCUCUUUGAACAGGUUAAAACUUCCAGUUAUGCUCCUGCUAUAUUAGAUUCCCAUUUUCUUCUCGACGGUAUUGAAAACAGCUCCCUAAUGAACGCACUGUUUAAGAUGUGUUCUCAUCUCCCCACUGUCUUAUCGCUCAUGAGUUGAGAAAACCAAUGUGACUCUCAGUUAUUGGCCUUUUGGAAGUAUCUUUUUUUCAUCCAUGACUAAUAUCAUGAAAUCUUUCACAUGUACUCACCAUUUGUUUAUAUUUUCUCUGCAGGUAAUCUUAUAAUCGUUCUUGUAGGCCUCUGCCAUUUAAAUUUGGGUGGGGACACUCAAUAAGACUUUGUGAAACAUGGCUAAUUCGGGUGUGAAGAUCAAAAUCUUAUCAAAAUACUACCAUGGAAUGACUAUGGACUAAAUCAGACCUUGACGUUUUGCUGUUGACAUUAAGGUUUGUAAUUUUCUCACCUGCUGCUACAUUGUAAUCACUACUAGGUGUUUUUGCAUUGACCAUUUUCCUUGGUAUGCAGGUUUCUUAAAUUUGUUCUCAUAGGCUUCCACAUAUUUUGCAUUUAAAUUUGGGUUGGCGUCACUUAUCAGGACUUUGUAGGUUUACAUGGCUACCUUGGAUGUGAGGAUCAACAUAUAACCACAGGUAAUUGUGGAAUAAAUGGUACUUCAUUGUUUAGCCAAGAUUUGCAAUUUUCUCACCCGCUGCUACAUUUCUAUCAUUACUUGUGUUCUUGCAUUGACCAUUUUUCUUGGAAUGCAGGUGCCCUUAUAUUUGUUCUCGUAGGCGCCUACAUAUUUUGCAUUUAAAUUUGGGGUCGGACUCACUCAUCAGGACUUUGUGGGUGUAAAUGGCUAGCUUGGAUGUGAGGAUCAAAAUAUCACCACCGAAUAAUUGUGGAAUAAAUGAGACUUCACAUUUAACUAAGGUUUGCAAUUUUCUCACACAGCGCUACAUUUCUAAUACCAAUGGAGGUCCCUGCGUGGGGAAUGGAUUUCAUGGGUGUCAACCGUCUUAUCAGCUUUGAUUUUUCAAAAUUGGCUUCUGCCUAUAUUCACAUUAUACAGGAAGAUAUCCAACUUUGGGCAUCUAAUUUAUGAUGUAUUAUUGUUCUGUUUUUAGUGUUUUGGAAUUUGUGAUCAAACCUAAAACAUGUUUCGGGCUUGUUUGGGCAAGAGCCUGAGGGGUUCUUUCUCUAGGAUUUUGAAUAUUCAAGUGUUGUGUAAUUUUGCAGGAAAUGCUACCAGAGGUUUGUCCCUCCUCCCUUAUGUUUGGUUAAUUAACCACCAUCUUUGGUAGACGUAUAACAGGCUACACGUGAUUGAAUGCUGACUGUACCUCCGCAGAAAGGUCGAGGGCAAGCGCUUCAAUUCCUUCCUUGACCUCUACCGCUAUGACCCAUGGGAGCUCUAGGUUGAUCUCAACUAACCAGCAAUUAAUUAAUCUCCCUCUCUCUAGAUCUCUUCAACCAGCUAACCCGUCCUCAGUUUAUUUCCCUUAAUUUCCUGCAGUGAUCCAUCCACCGGCGAUAUUGACAAGCUUUCAACAUCCAAUAUACAUGUGGAUCUAAGAAGUGAGCGUUGGACCAUAUGAAUUAGUUUAUCUCUAUUAUCAAUGUGUUUUUACUUUAUUUGUGGACAUGCUUUUCUGAUCUGUUUCAUAGAAGCUGUAUGUAUUUAACAGCGACACUGGCUUACCACAAAUAAAAUCUGUAUAUGCAUUUAUUAUACAUACUCUUGAUGAUCAGUUAUAGUUGUGGCUUUUCGGUGCAAUACUUAACCUAUCUACGCCAACUUUCUUGAAAUUCAUACAUCUUACUAAUCUGCAUAUUGCUUGCAUAGGUUAUAGGUGUAGGAUUAUUACUGUUAUUUGGCAGAUAUGAGCAAUAAACCACCGCUCUUGUGCGAGUUUAGUAAGGUGCAAGCGUAGGCAGCUGUUCUGCUCAAAAGCAUGUUACUGCAUGUUUGUCAGCCCUGCAGCAUAUCUACCCAUAUUUGUUUGUGCUUCGUUCAUUUUUGUCUGGUCAUGUUCUCACACUUCCUUUUUUUGUGUAGGUUUAUAACUCACCUGGUUAUGGCCUAUGUAUUCACAUUUUGGACCUGCUAUGUACUUAUGAAGGAAUAUGAAAACGUCACAACCAUGAGGUUGUGCUUUCUUGUUUCAGAGAAACUACAACCAGAUCAGUUACCGGUAUGAUCAUAUGUCCAAAACUUUGUGUAUUCAGUUCCUAUUUAGUAAAGAUGUUCAGAUGUGAUGUAUAUCAGCUUGGAUAAAUUGAAAGCGGACUGGCAUGCUUUUCACUGCAAAGCAUCUACCAAAAUUGUGGGAAUAAAAUGAUUACACACUGGAUAUUUCUGCAUCAUGUAAAUUGACAAAUAAUUAGAUCUUUCUACAAAAUUCAGUAGAAAAUUCUGCGUCCGACUUUUUGUGUGCAUUUAGGUAUAUAUCAUCUUUGUGGCUGUAACUUCUACAUGAGCUUCUUUUAGAUCCCUUUUCUGAAGAAAAAAUGCGUUUGCACAUCGGAAUAAUCUCAGUAGAAUGCUGUUGACAACAUCACCUUCUGCAUACAUGAUCCUUCGUAAUUCCACUUAACAACUGUGCCAUUCCGAGCAUUUCAUCUUACUGGAUAUAACCAUUAACUUCAAUAACUUCAUUUGUAGGAUUCAUCUGGUAUAACGAUAGUUUGGCGACGCUAUUGGCACAAGUGCUGAAUGCUGAUCUUCUUAUCAUGCUUAGUGAUGUGGAGGGACACUAUAGUGGUCCACCGAGUGAUCCUCAAUCAAAGGUCAUCCACACGUGCAUUACUGAAAAAUCUCAUGUAGGAAGAGAUGGAAUGCAAACUAAAGUGGCAUCUGCUGUUACUGCUGCAUCAAAGGGCGUACCUGCUGUAAUUGUGAGGUGACCACAACUUUUUUUUUUCUUGGUGUUAGAGCAUGAAAUUUUAUAUGCAUACCUACUAAAUAUUCCCAUUAGGUUAAGAUACUGCAAGCUACUAUAUGGUCAGUCAAACUGGCAGCUACCAUAUUUGUGCAAUUUUGGAACGCAGGGAGUACUAAUUAAACUAUUGCUGCUAUAAUUGGAUAUUCAAAAGUGCUCGAGUAAGACAAUUGGUAAUUAGUUAUGGAGAUUGGAGUUUUAAUGCAAGGGUUUAACAUUAGAUAAUCAUCUGCAAUGUUUGUGUUGAUAUAUAGUUUGAAUAACUUUCUUAAUUCUUAAGUACUCCUAUCAAACUGCGCAUCUUCGAAGUGGCUGGUGCCACGUUUGUUUGUGCUGUUGGUCAGGAAGCAGCUUAGCACACGGUGGCAUCAGACGAAAAUAACCAGAAUAGAAGGUUCAUCAAUAAAAUGUGCAAUUUAAUUUUCAAUCUGUUUACUUCUCUAGAGGAUCAUCUACCUCACCCAUUUUGAUCGGAAUUGUGUGUACGGAAAAAAUUUCACCAUGCAAGAAUACCAAGUUCGCCACCUUGAAUGCCUUAUAGGCACAAAGAGCCCUCAGUUCAGAUACUAUGUGUGCACAAUGAACAAGCCAUUUGUCUCACCCAGACAAAGGAUGGUAAAACCUACAAACUAUUAAUUCUCUCAUCAUACAUAUUAUUCUCUCAUGACAAAUAUUGAUCAACGUUAUCAAUGAUGCUUUCUUCUCCUAUAUGCAGUAUCUUGAUCAUACCGAGUUCCUGCUGCCGUAUCUUGAUCCUGCAGUGAACCAUCUGCGUAUAAAGCUCGCGGGAACCUCAAUUGCACAUCGAGUUCGCCUAAUGAAAGGAACAUAUGGUAGAGCAACCAUCACCACCAACUGGCAAAAUUUUGUGCACGAUGCUGGACUUCAAGAGAGAUAUAGUGGCCUUUGUAUUCAGCGCUCGUCGAACCAAGCUGUGCCUCCAUGUUCAACAACUCUAGCUGAAAUUAUGUAAUGAAAACAAGAUGUCUGUACAGAAAUAUCCACAUGGUGCUACCCUUUUGUCACUUGCUGUAACUCUCAUGAAGCAAAAUAAGUAUUCCCUUCGAUCCAUAUUACUUGUCUCAAAUUUAAAUUUGUCCAAAUCUGAAUGUAGUAUUUCAACAAUUAAUUUCGGCCGGAGGGAGUACUUAAUUCUUUAUGUGUUGCGUUUGUUCACUUGCUGACAAGUCACAUAACCAUGUAUGAUGCAGCUGUUAUUGCUACUCCAUUAAUGCACCGCUGUUGACAAGUGCACCUCAAAUGCCCUGAACUAUCGUACAGGAGCGACAGACAACCUCACUGGGUCUUUUUGAAGUUCUCACCGUUGUUGAGCUACAUCCCAGUGCGCCUCCAGAGCAUAAUCAGAACCUUACGCAGAGACCCUGAGAUAUACUCCAGGAGGCGCCCAGGGCGCGCCCCAGCUCCUAGUCCUUUAUAGAAUUAUAAUGAGCGCCCCACCAAACCAGCGGCUCUGUUUUUUUAGGGUUUUCUUUAUCAAUUAAUCCUUUAUAGAAUUACAAAGUGUGGUUUCCCACACGAUUACAUAACAUCUGCUAAUAAAUUUCAUUGAACACCACCGAUUAAGAUGAUCGUCGCCGUCUUUAGUGAAGUGCAUAGAUGAGUGGCAAAAGUACCAUAUAUUGAUGUUCCAAAGCAACAUCAGUCUGGUGAAGUACGUUCUGCAUUGUCGGCACCGGGCUCAUAAAAAAGACGCAAAUGGGCGUUCGGUUGGUCGCGAACAAAAUUGUACAGCCUCAUGGGCCAAGACAAAUGCCUCUUAUCGCUAGAAAGAAAUGGGUGAUUUCCACCAUUUUGUCACCGCAUAACCAUGUCAGAGUGUAUAUAAAUAGUGUAGCAUAUACUUUUCCUGCAUAUACGGAGCAUGACUUAGUUUCAGAAUUUACGAUCUAUUCAUUCAAUAUUUCCCUUUUUAGAAGACAAAUUCUUGCAUUUGGAUUAUCUAUCACAUAUAGAAAUACCUUAUCCUAUCCAUUUAGAAAUCUUUGAUUCAAAUCCUUCAAUAUCGUCUCCAAGAUGUUCCAUCUUUGCAUUUUUGCAAUUUUUUCUCAACUACCAUUCGAAUCGGAAUAGUCUUCUUACUUCAGUGAAAUCCAUUUUUCUUUUAAGAAAAUAAAAUAAAUACUAUUUUGAUUCCUAUAUAACUCUUAUGUAUCAGUUGAUUUUUUUCUUAACAAAAAGAAUAAUGUUUGACAAAUUAAUGCAAAAUGAUCAAUUAAAGAAAAGAGUUGAUACAACAACUAACAAUCAAUCCCUAGAGUCCACUCCUCCCCCAUACUAGUGAAAGAGAAAAUGUAAAGACUACCAUUAAAGCAGCCCAAGACUGUCAAGCUCUUCGCAUUUUUAACCUCUAUUUUUGCCAGUGCUAGGAUUGCUGAUUGAAUUGAAUUUUUAGAGCAUGGACGAAAAAAAUACGUUGCAAGUUUUUUGAGUUUAAAUGAACCGUAUCUUUUUUGGUGCUGCGUGUAGUCUGUGUAUCCUUGUCUCUACUACUUUAGCAGCACCUCCACGUUUCUGAGAAUACAAUGGAAAUCUGGCAGCUCUCCUUCCAUGUAUAAGUAACAAAGAACACCCCCAGAAACAAUUAUUAAAAUAGACAAUUCAGAGACGACGACUCCCAGAAUACCCUACCACAAAUCCCUGAAGUCUCAGCCCAAUGAGACAUCCAACGGAACACAUUUAAGCAUAAAUAUUACAGAAAUAUCAUUGCCAGUAUAUAAAGUUAUUAACAGUGAGAUAGAUAUCAACCUUAAGGAAUGUAUGGCUAGAUGACCUGACACGAUGUGAAUAUGAAGCACAUAGUGAUAUAAAUUACAUAGGGCAUUCAAACCGGACUGCCACAUAUAGCUCCACCAAAAAAUCUAGGUUAUGCAUGAUCUAAGUGUGCUUUCCAUACAUUGUCCUUGUGAUGGCCGAACUCGAAUUCUCCUCCGAGGGGAUGCAGCACAAUGCACUUAGGAUAGCACAUGUGACAUAACCUCUCAACCUUGCCACCACAUGCACAUGUCCUGGUCAUAAAUGGAUCCGGAAGAAGAAACUGACGGUGGCAUGUCUUGCAAACGCAAUCCGCUGGGGGAAAAACACAGAGUUCAGGCAACAAAGAGAAAAUGUGAGAGAGUAAUCGUGCGAUGCAGAGAGAGAGAGAGAGAGACAUACAUCCACCAUCGCGACGAGUACCACACCCAAGACGAAAACCAAGGAACUUGUAGGCUUCAGUAACUGGUUCAUCUGAAAACACGCGAAAUGAGCAGAUCGUAUUCAGUUGUGAACAUGGGUGUAAGUGUAAUAGCAAACGACCUAACCAGGUGAAUUUAUCUAUAUUUCAAAAAAUAAAAGGAUAACACAGCUACGAAAAAUCAGGUUUAUCAAUAUGAAGUAACAACUUUUGUUGAAUAUCCAUAUCGUACUGGGAGCUUAGGUUGUGUAGGAAGUCUAAUAAUAGUGCAACAGCCUUUUCCGCAAGGAAAUUAGACAGCACCUUCGUAAUCUCUUUCCCAGCCCAGCAAAAAAGAAGGAAAAACAAAUCAUCAAUUAUCCCUAUCCUAAACAUGUGCAUCAUGCACCCCAACCCUCUAAGCAUGAUAGAAUGCCCAUCUCUAUGUGCCGAGAGACAAGGCAACUACUACCUGCAAUUCAUUCGCACAUGAAUAUAAUCUGCACAUAAGAUUAAGUAAUAUUCAGGAAAGGGAACAAGUAGAAUUACUGGAAGCAAAUGAAAAGGACGACACACGGUUACACGGUUAUAAAAUUUGAUCAUCCCUCAGUUGCUGAACUAAUGAAAGCAAUGCAAGAUAAUAAUGAGACUUCGGACUUGAGAGGAUCACGUUGCUACUGGAGCUGGAAGGAUCAGACAUAAAGUAGGCAAUUCAGACACUGGGAGGACUUAGCGAGGGAAAACAGGGAACUAACAUGCCUAAAUCCUAGGUUGGUUGUAGCAAGUAAUGAGACGUAUAACUUCUAGCAGGAAGGGUAGAGGAUACACUAACCAUUUGAAUCAAGUAAGAGAGUAAUGCAUAGUGCAUUCAUUUUUUAACUUUCUUGCUUUCAAAUAUUCUGGUAAGUCCUAAGGUCUUCAAGGUAACCUAAGGAAGAUGCACCAGAGUACAGAAGACGAAUGUGGAGAAGAGAACGGAGAAAUAGAGGGAUUCAUUUGGCUACAACCUGUACUGUCUCGUAGGCCAAACAAGGUAAACGCACAUAACGCAACAGAAGGGGCGCAGAGAACCAUGCAUAUAAUAAAAGCGGCCGCACUGAUAAACUUCUCAGACCAUUAUCUCUACUACCUUAUAAAUUGAAGUUGGUGGUGGUUGUUGUGAGUUCACUCCAUGUGAUAUCCACCACUGAAUUUGCAUCAAACGGCUUAGCCUAUCCGUCGCUUCUUCCCUCAAAGGUUUUGAGCCGACAGGUGGACCAUGCAUUGUAACCCACGAGCCCCGUGUUUCUUCGCUCACAUCCUUGUUCACUCGUCCCUCUUGCGGCUGCGCGACUGAUCCGAAUGGUUCCGAUCAGGACAUGCCCCCCUAACCAGUAUGGGGAUUGUUGGAGGCGGUAGUAUGGGGAGGCUGGUCAAUGUUUUUUAUUUAGUUAGUGUUUCGAAUUUACUAUAGAUAUGUUGCUUUCGUUCAUAUUUAUCAGUUGGGUUGAAAUACCAAUGCAGUCUCCGUGUCUGUUAGAUUGCUAAGCGCACAACAAAACUAACUUGCAGCACCAAAGCCAUUUUUUUAUAUGCAGCUUCCAAAUGGCACAGUUCUAAACAGUUCAUAUUACGUCAACUUCUGCAUACCUUUUUCCUUUGUAUAAUAAAUAAAACUGUAUAAUUGUAUAUGAUGCAUACAGUUAAUGACGCAGUGCAUAAGGCUAGAAACACAGUCUCAAUUGAGCUGUGGGCACCAUAUUUUUGUAUUUUACCAAGCAGAGGAGCAUUGAGUUUAGUGGUAGUGGGCUGAUACAAUCGACAUUUUCGACGGCAGGUCACGUGCACUUCCUUUCGAUAUUUUGUAGGCUUAAUAUACGGAAACUACUGCAGGUUACUUUUGGAAGAGCAAGUAUAUUAUGCUAACAAAUGAUACUAUGUUAUCUACAAAACAAAGGAUAUUAUGAUUAACACGAUCGAGCAUCUAUUUGAACUUUUCUACUAUAUCAUUAUAGUCUUAUGGAAAGAAUCUGAAAAUGAACAUUUUAGUAUCUCAAUAGGAUCAGGUAUUGGUGAUAAUUGAAAAGCUGUGUGAAUACACGGUGGCGCAAAUAUAUGUUUGGUAUACGAACUAAUGAUAUAAAAUUUGGUUUGAAUUGCUGAGAUAUUACUUUUAUUUCAAAACACAUUCUGUGGCCCACAGGCACUACUAUGCUAGUAGAUGGAUAAAGAUUGAAAUGAAGCAGUAUUGAUAUGUAUGCCGAGGAAAGGAGCAUACAUGCAGUAUUUUAAAUCAACUGACGCAAGAACUUGUUUAUAGAUUAGUAUAAUACCAUCUAUUUUGAGAGUGGAAUGUUUGGGCGUCUAGAAUCAGCUUUCUCUUUUUCUACAUGUCUUUUGACGAAAACCUAUGUUCAUUUUUGUAAACACACUGAAUGAAAGAGAAUAAGAUCUUCCAAUAUGCAUGACAUGACAAGAGACGCUAGGAAGCAGAUGCAUACCUAAGGGGGCGCAUGUGACAACUUGAUCGAUACAAUCUAAGCCAGCAGUGAGCUCAAAAAAGAAGAGAGUUCGUUGAGCGGGCAGGAAGGAGAAGCAGCCAGAGCCAGAGCGCUUCCGACGAGCCACAAAGUUGCCAUGAGUCCACCAACGGAGAUUGUUGAUUAUUGUGUAUCUGGUCACCCGACCAGGAGCAGGUUCGUACUCAUCGCCCUGAUCAACAAAAACAACAUGGAAAAGGAUAUAGGCAAUGUUAGCAAGGCAAAACAAUGAUGAUUCAAGAAGAAAUCGGUCGAGUAAGAUGGGAAGAACAUAUCACCGGAUGGUUGGAGUUGUACCACUCAAGGCAUUGUAGCACGAUCUCGUGACUGACACCUUCGAUCUGCGCGCGUGCCUCCCUAGUCCUGACAUAGAACACACAGACGGGUCAAUGAAACAAUGGUAAUAAAAUGUUGGAUCGAUCUAAUUGGACAGAGGGGACAAUCGAUUACCUGAGCAAAUUCUUAAGCAUCAGGUCAUGCACCAUCUCGGGAUCCGGCCGGAAGAUUUUGAACAGCCAGUUGCAGAUGACGCUAGGCGUUUGGUAUUCGGGGGGACGAUAGAAGUUGAGCUCCUUGAAAUAGGAGGGGGAGGGGGGGGCGGCGGCGCUGCUGUUGGUGUUGGUACCCAUGCCGGCGGCCUUGUCUGCUCCAAUGCGAAUCCAACCCUUGGAUCUCUUGGCCUUCUUACCAAGCGGACCCGGCUUAUAGUACCUAGGCGGCGCUGGUCCGUCUCCGGCCAGGGGUCGAGGCUUUCGUCCGAAUCCACGAAGGCGACAAGAUUCCUCCGCCUCCGCCUCCGCCUCCUUCCCUGCUUCAAUCAUGGGUCUGACCGGGGGGAUCUCCGAUAUCUCGGCCGUCUUAGCAAGCGGGCCAGGCGGCGCUGGUCCGACUCCGACGAGGGGUCGUGUCUCCUCCUUGUCGGCCAUGGCGGCGAGGAUCCGAGCCGAUCCGAACUUGGUUAGGGUUGGGGUUGGCUACGGUCUUUUUUUUUUUCGAGUACGGUUGCUUCUGCCGGUGUCCUAAAUCGCCCCAUCUCUGGUUGUCUGGGCCGAAGACGGGCUGCCGGGCGUGGGCUACUCUUGUUUUCUCUUUCCAACUUUUUUCUACUCCCUCCGAUCCAUAAAAAGUGUGUCCAUUUUGUACUAAGUUAGUACAAAUUUUGUACUAAGUGGACGACAUUUUUUAUGGAUCGGAUGGAGUACUAUAUAAUACCCAUGUUUUGUAAAGAUUUUAAUAAUGGAGAUGAUUUUUUUGGCUAAUAUAAUACUAACCUCCAUAUCGAAAUAAGUGAAGCCGGACCUUUUUGCAAAAACCCUCCAUUGGUUUUUCAUAAUCAAUCUGCAGUCCACUUCAAGAAAUUGUGGAACCUUGGGUCAAUUUUGAAAAACUACAGGGGAUUUUCUGCAAAAGUGUCAUUAUAGAGUAGAGGGGCUUUUUUGCAAAAUGGCCAAAAUCAGUUAUAUCGAUACGAAGGGAGUAGAUCUUUUAGGAUGAAGAAUUUUUUAUAUAAUGAAGAUGGAAUUUUUUUUUUUGUGAACAUGGAGCAUUUUAUAUGAACACAUCAUUUUUUCAUGAAGAAGUAAUAUUUUUCAUUUAACAUAAUUUUUUUGUAUAAAUACAAAACAUUUCUUACUACGAUACGGCCGUGUACUACGACAAUGGCACGCAGGAGUGCGUUAGUGGCUUCUCCGGUGCCAACCUGCUCAGCCUGGCCGACGACAGCACCGAGAACAGCAUGCUCUUCUCGUAGUGGAAUGACCAGGCCAUCCCGACAACACCGCCGCCGUGACUACACAACCUGUUGAUGGGGACGACAUGGUACGCGGCCGCCGCCACGCCGAGGCAGUUUUCCACCGCAUACAUGGACUCCAUCAGCACCAACAGCACUGUGUCAACGUUCUACUCCCUGGCACAGUGCACGUCGAGCCUGUCAUGGCAAGGAAAAAAAACCGACCAAUUAUUAAAUAGCAUAUCCCUUUUUUGUGUGAUCCGGUACUCGGGUCGUUGUCUCAUGUAGAUAGCUAAUUAGAGCAUCUCUACCAGCAUGAGAAAAACUGAAUGAGCUCACUUUUGGGAGUGACAAAACCAAAAUUUUCCUCCUUCACAGUUUUCCUCUCCACCAGCAUGAGAAAAAUUGCCUCCUUAUUUUUCUCCUUACAUGUGGGACCACCUUUUCAUUGGGUCACCGCUUAUUCUUUCCCGUCGAUCUUUCUUUCUCGUUUGACCACCCGCUCUCCAUCCUCUCCCUCGACGCGCUUUCUUGUCGGGCGAGGCAAGGGGCAGCCGGUCACCUGAAGGGGCAGGGGACGGCUGGUUCCGUGCCCCUGCUCGCCGUCCUCCCGCUCAAGACAAACAAAGAAGGACUAGGUGGGGGUGGCAAGCGACCAGGCGAAGGAGGGCGCAGGGGUGGUCAGGAAGGGCGGAGGUGGCUGGACUUGGGCGCUGGGCGGGGGGCUGCAGCCCGAAUUUGAGGGUAGGGACAAACGCGGGCGCGCCGCUCCACAGGGAGGGCGGAGGAAGGCCGGGAUCGGUGGUAGAGGGUUAGAGCACGGGGCAAAGCUCCAGCGGUGGCGAGGUAGGGGGGAGGCAAGGAUGGCUGUGUUCCGGCAGCAGCAGGCCGAGCGGGAACUUUCCGGCUCGGCAGUUGGCGUGCGCGCACGAAGGAGAUUUUUUUCUUCGAUGCCCAGAAUCCCUAUUUGGAGGGGGGAGGAGAGAGGCUUUUCCUCCCUCCCAAAUUUUUUCUCAUUGUAAACGUGUUUAGGGGAGCUGGUGGAGCAGUUUGGAGGAGAGAGAAAAAAUUGUUAUUUGAUUUUCUCCUCCGGUUUUCUCAUGUUGGUGGAGAUGCUUUCUCCUAGGCGACUAGGGUUUCUUACUCUGCCGGCGACCUCGUCCGUUAGCCACUGUUUUACACCCUACCUUUUUUACGUGUUGUAAUAUCUUAGUUAUGGCAAUCGGUAACAUGGAGAAUAACAAAUGUAAGUGAUAUCAUUCUAUAACAUAUGAGAUCAAGGUUCUCAUUAGAGUUUUUUUGACACUAUGAGUUCAUGGGGGCCUAUAUAUAUGGGAUAACUUAAAUUAGUCAGGUCUAUGGGUUGACGGGUUUAGGUUUACCACCUCCAUAUAUACUGCCUCCGCUCUACCCGUUGGGCCUAAUUAAGUUUUAGCCAUUUAUAUACCCAUGCUCUUUUUACCAAACCCUCAUGUGAUUGAUGCGGAUAUCCAUUGCCAUCUGGAAUUCCACUUUAAACAAGAAAGGCCGCAUGGUUUCAAAGGCCCACGAAAUGUCGCAAUUUUUUAGAAAAAUAAUAAUUAUUAUUCGAUAAUUACUUUUUUAUAUCAAUUUUUUAUUUUUAAAGAAGUACAGCAACUAUGUGCAAAUUUUUUUUCAGCGUGACUUAUAAGAGUGAGCUAUAGUGUUUUUGCCGGCCGGAACAAGCAGACGAUGUGUGAUUGAUGCGAGGUAUUGACUCAGUCCUGAACUGCACAUUUUUUUCGUUUUUCUUGUUCUAUACUGAUUGUGACCUAGCAUAAAUCAAGAAACUAGCUAGUAUGCGGUGCCCAUCAGCAAUGACUCGUGAUCGAUUGUUUGUAAGGUAUACUGACUAACUUGCUGCUGAAAGCAACAUGCACAGGCAUCCUCAUAGUGAUGUCGGCAACCGCACGUACGUAACGGAGGUCAACAGCUACCAGUCAAACCUUGCCGUCCUUAUCCCGCUACAAGUCACAACCAUGGUGUCCUUCCUGCUCCUCGUCGUUAGCUUCCUCCUGAUGCCGCUGUUGGCAACGGCAAUGGCGUCGAUCUGCGGCAGCAGCGGCAACUACACGGCCAACAGCACCUACCAGUCCAACCUCGCCGCCACACUUGGUUUUCCGUCUACCUCGUGAAACCACCUUCAACUCUAGAUCGGGCCACAUCUGAAUUCCAUGAUACUCAGGCCACCGCGAUUGGUCAAAGUAUGGGUGAAAUCUACUUUCCCAUGUCUUCCUCGUGGUCUCGAUCGAGUACUCAGACUCCCUCACGGUCAGCGGAUUGUUAACAUUGACAUUUCUAAGUCGUGCCGCCGCCCGCAAAUGUGAGCACGCGAGAUGCAGCAACGAUGGUCUCAUGCACGAGCACUCAUAUUUCGUUAACGAGACCUCGAAACUCCUGCCUCCAUGUUGCACACCAUCGCUUGUGCUGCCUCCAGGCUCGUUUACUUGGUAAAUCAUUUGAUCGUUGUCAAAGCAUACAAGCUUUAAAGUGUGCGCCUUCCGUGACUGAUAUGUCAACCAAUGAUCAACCUUAGGUGGGUAUUUGAGAGGCCUGUUACGCUUCUUCCAUGUACCUAGAAUCUGCUUGGCGGUUUCGUCUGAAUAUUUCAGAAAGUACUCAUUCAGCUUAUCGAAAGUGUAUUGAGCAAUUGCCGUAACGGGCAAUGCACGGACCCCCUUCAGCACGUUAUUGAAGCAUUCCACCAUGUUAUUUGUCAUUUGACCGUACCGGCGGCCCCCUUCAUCAAAAGCGCGUGCCCACUUCGAUCUAUCACCGAGGUGCCUAAUCAGGAAUUCAUGCCCCCCUGCACUGAGGUCCCGUGAAGCCAGCAGUGCAUUUAUCAAGUUUGAGAAACGCCGAUCGGAGUAAGCCUUGCAAGAUUCUUGAAGAAGGUCCGUCAAUUCCUUGUUCCUACAUCUCUAAAGAAGUUGGCACAAAAAUGCCACAUGCACCAUCAAUGGUGCAAUCGAGCAUGGCCAGGAAUGUCAACCUCCACCGCGUUCAAAUUUCCUUGAUGGCGAUCGGAUAUGACACAUACUUCCCUUUGCGGCGGUAUAACUUUCGAUCUAAGCAGACCAAUGAACCAUGCCCAAUUAUCGUUGUCCUCUGCGGAAACCAAUGCAAAAGCUAAAGGCAACAACCGGCUAUUCGCAUCACAACUUAUUGCCACCAACAUUGUGCCCUUGAAUUAGCCGGUCAAGAAGGUGCCAUCCACGGAUAUCACCGUCCUGCAGUGCUGGAAAGCCUGUAUGCACUGUUCAAAAGUCCAGAAAGCACGGCCAAAAAUCCACACGGUUGCACCUUUGUAAGUCCUUGUUCGUUGGCCAAAAGGCUCGACCACAUGAACCAUGCCCGGGUUUGUAUGCGCCAUAGCACCCAACAACUUUGGGAGACGGUUGUAGCCUUCCUCCCAGUCACCAUUCAACAUCUUGAAUGCGGCUUGCUUCGCCUUCCAUGCCUUCCCAUACUUCACCCGGUAAUGGAAAAGAGUAUAGACAAGCUCCAUGACUGACUUAAUGGGCAUUAUUGGAAGUGACUUGAUGGAAUUAGAAAACCUAUAAGCGAUGAAUUCUGAAGUCAGCUGUCUAUGAUCGUUCUUCACCGUAGGUUCAUCUAUGUUCUUUCCAUCGCACAAGUGAGUAGCACAACAACUCAUGAUGUACCAUUCGGACCCUAGUUUAUGUGGCCUUGCACGGACAAUCCAUGGACAACGAUCUUCGGUACACUUAACCGUGUAUCGAAUCUUGUUGUUAGAGUACAACCUUGUACGGUCGAUGGUGCUUGACGGAGAACUCCUUUAUCCACAUCUUAAAUUCCAGCAAUGUUUGGAACCUCAAACCAGCCUUAAUGCCAUACCGUCUUUGUGUCACAUCCCGAUGGGAACUUGGCCUAGGUCCAAGCACGAACCCUUCGCCACCGUCAACCACGGCCUGAUCCGCCAGGCUAACAUCACGAAAAAAUGGUAUACUUGGAUCCCGGCCAGUUACAACCUUGAAAUCGUUAGCUUCUUUGGCUGUCAACCCAUCCUCAUCAACUUCUUCCUCCGGACCAUCUUCAUCCGAAUCCGAUGCAAAUACUCGGUUAAAUGGGAUUUCACGGUCCAUGUCCUCUUGCUCACAAUAUGCCUCCAAAUCACCUACAUUAUUGUCAUGCAUAUCAUCGUCCUCCUCUAGCCACGGUUCAGGUUGUUCGUCUGUCAUCAAGCUUGAUGGUUGCGUCUCUUCAUGUUCGGUCUCUUCAGGUUCAGGCCGACUCAUUGUAGUGUUGCCAACAUCGGCCUUUCUUGUAGCAAAUAUCUCUAGAGCUUUGUCUUGUGAUUGGGUCACCGUCUCUUUGUAUGCCUCCCAACGUUGCUCGGAAGAUAUGCGCAUUGUCUUCCAACGGAGGUGCACUCCAUACCCAACAUUAUGUCUUCCCUCCAACUCUACCACGUCACUUGGGUCCAUCCAUUGCAACUCAAGCCUCACUUCCUCCAAUAGCUCGGCUUAGGUUGGACUAAAAUCGAACACCAAGUCUCGCUCCUCCGUGUCCGCCUUUACAUUGCCUCCCAAAAAUGCCUCUUUGUCCACGUGAUGAACAUGAACAAUUCUUGCCAUCUAGAAUAUAAUUACAAUGGAAAACAUCCAUCAACGUCCCUGAGAUUGACUAAUAUCCAACAAGAAAAGUGCUACAUAUCCAAAUAUUAGACACCCUAAAUACCAUUCCAUAAUUCGGACCAAACAUUUUUGGGCCAAGUACAUAUACUAGGAUUUGCCCCAAAUAUAUCCAACAAGAAAGUGCUACAUAUCCAAAUACUAGACACCCUAAAUACCAUUCCAUAAUUCGGACCAAACAUUCUUGAGCAAUUACAUAAACUAGGGUUUGCCCCAAAUCCAACUAGAACCCUCAAUGUACACAAAUUUCUAGGGCAAAAUGCAGAGGAAACAGAGGGGAUCGGAGGAGAAUACCUGGGGGGGGGGGGCGCAAAUGCCACCGGAAUCCACGGAGAUUGGGACGAAUCGGGGGAGAGAUUUGGAGGGGAACCGCCGCCGCCGCCGCUGUGUUCUAACGGGAGAGGCAAGGGCCGAACCCUUCUGUGCGUGAGCCUCUGGCCCGAGCGGUUCGGCCGCUUUAGUGCAGGGGGGUAUAGCGCCUGGUGUGAAGACGCUAAACUACCAGUAUAGCGCCCGUGAACGAGGCGCUAUAAUGGCUUGCCGUGGGUCCCCGAGGUCACCACGCUGGCACCAGUUUAACGCCCGGUCACAAGGCGUUAUACUGCAGGUCUAACGCCCGGUAUGCGGGCGCUACACGAAAGGGUCAGGUUUGUGAAAUAGUUUCGUCAGGAGUCCAUUUUUCAAAUUUCUUUGUGUUUUAGGUCAAAUUUGUCGAAAUUCAGCAUACACCACGAAUGCCUUCCUUUCUUGCUGCUGACAUGCUAGCAUAUCUGACAACAGGCAGGUUCAGAAAUUCAGCAGUGUAAAUAUAGACUACCAAAGGGAGGUCAAAGACCUUUUGAGAUUUUAAUGCAUUUACACCAGAAAGUAAUUAGACUAUCAUAACUCAGUGUACUAAACUAAAAUAAGUGCUGGAUAUGCAGAUCAAAACAACCGUAAAUAUCCAGUCUGCCUUAUUGUGGUUUUUGAAGAAGAAAUCCAGGACAAAAUAGGCAGGUAAACAAAUGUUCGCAACAACUGUUUUUGAACUAAACACAUGAGGAAUAACUAAUUACAAACCCAAAAGGUUUGCUUGGAUAAAAUCAAGCAGUCAUGCUCAUUUAAGAUGGCAGAUCCUUUCAAUGUGCUCGGAAUUAAGAACUAGCGCAUGCGGCUACAAGAAACCACCAGGCAGUGAACUGCAAAAUUAGCGAUAACAUGAUCUAGUCGAAAAUAAUCUCUACAGUCCACUGGGAUUUCUACUCACUGAUCCAUCACUUGGGUAGGUACCAGAGGACAGGAAACAGCUUCUUCAGGUAUGACAACAAUAUUUACAGUUCUAAGUAGGUUUCCCAUGUUGACAAUCAUUUUCUGUCUUGACUACCUAAAAAGGAAGCCCCCGAUGCCGUAGGUUGUCACCCAGACAAGAAGGGGAGAUCCUCACAUCAUUAUCCAUAACUGAAACAAAUCCCAAUGGCCAUUUUCUACCAGUACAGACAAUUAGUGUAUGUGCGCGCGUGCGCGUGUGUGUGUGACACAUGAAGCCAAAAGCUCAAUUAUUAGAAGCAAAGAAAAUUAGGCCAAGACAGGAGGGCAAGAAGAAGGGAUUAAUUUCGGGAAGGAAUCCAACCUAACCUGGCAAUGUAGCCCCUCGUGCCAGCUAUUUUAGCCAGGCCAGCAGCAUCGCAAUGUACUUUGGUUGUUUGCUUCUUGGUCUAGUCACCACCAACUCAUCUGUGGUUUGGUAUAUCCUACCCUGUACACAGCACAACUAAAUUGUUAACAUGUAAAUAUGCAACCCAAUGGGAUGUUUUUUUAGAAGCAAUGGGAUUUUAUUGGGACACCAUGUUUCCCUCAAACCCAAUGGUAGCAGCAACCAAGAGUAUUCAAGAGUGAGUUAAGAUCCAGUGUGCAUAAAACUUCAGAAGUAUGGGGAGCACAUGCAACAAUUGUUGCAGAGAGAGAGAGGAAGGGAAAUGAGAGAGAUAGAGAGAUAAAUACCACUUGACUGCGGGGAUUACAGAACUCGAUCUCCGGGAAACAACCAGAUCAGCCUCCAGCAUAUCAAAAUUGUGCACUGGGAGUAAUUAAUCAAAAGCAUGUAGGUUAACCUAAAAGCAUGUGAAACAAAGUGGAUAGUGACACUGCAUUUCAAAUAAGCAAUACUGCUGGAUAGGCAGUUAAUGUAAGAAAACUUCAGCUCAAAAAUGUAAAAGAUAAGAAAAGUGAUUCUGUAAAGUAGAUAAAAUGAUCAAAUGAUAUAUAUGUGAACAAUUCAACAUAACCACGAAUAGGAGAAUUCACCGCCACGUUGACCGUUCAAAAAUACAUCUGUACACAUCUAAACCCUCAAUUUUCCAAAACUCAUGACACGGGAAUUACAAGAAAGGAACUGGAAGUCUGGAAUGUUACAAAGAAGCAAAUGAAAUAAUAGAAAUGGUUACGUAGCUACCUUGCAAACAAUGGUAGUAUCAAAAAUUAAGUUAUAACUGAUGACUAACAAAAUGAAAGGAAUAUGGUUCUUCUCUAUAGGAUCUCCAAGCAGAUUCAUGUUGAUGCACCACCUUUUCUUCUCCUAGUGGUUCUUUUUACAGUAUAGGGAGCCCCACUAGCAACUUCGCUGGUUUUCUGAUUACGAUCAUUCACAGGCUGCUCGUUUGCAACCUGACUGGUCUCUGUUGGUGCACUUGUUCUGGGAACAGAGCUCGUCUCUGUGGCUGCACUUGUUCUGGGGAGAAUUUUUGUGUUCUGGGAUCUGCUUGCACUAAUCUGCCGCCUUAGGCGCAACAUCUCACCCUUCGCUAGCGCCAAUUCCUCUUCAAGGUGUCUAGACCUCAUUUCAAAGCUCUCCCUUUCCGUCUGAAGCCUUGAGAUAAGAUUCUGAGCAUCGUCACUAUUUUCUUGCGCCUGGAUCGUCUUCUU